ensembl:lncRNA
CUAGAUUUUAAGUAAUAAUAGUUUUAUGCUAGAUUGCUAGCAUAUCAAUAUACCAGAAAGAAUAUUGAUUAGAACUAAUUAAUACAAUUCCCAUGGCAAUAAAAAUGAAAAGAAACAUGUAAUGUUGAUAAAUCCUAAUGAAAAAGAAGUGUCUUAUUUUCUAAAACCAGUAAAAUGAUGCAGUUUCUUCAGAGAGAAGUAGUUUUCACCAAGGACCCAGAGAUUGUACUAUUUUGUUUCUUAUUUAUCAAGCAACAACUAAUUUUAGAGCAGGCUAAAAACAAAUGAAAAUUUGGAAAUGAAAAAAAAAAUUACAAGAAAAGGAGUUGUGAUGGUAGAGAUUCAUCCCGUAACCAGGGGACCUAGCAGCAGCUCUGGGCCUAAUUGUGACCCACAAGAAGAAACUGGUCUUUGAACUUUCACAGGAACUGUGAAAAAACAAACAAUCAUGCCACUUUUCAAUUUGUAAAAGCAAAGAAUGGAUUCUGGCUGUGUGUGACUAUAAUUUAGGCAGGUUGAUCUCAAAAAUUUGAUUUCUUUUAAAUUUAGUAUUUUUUUCUUCAACCUCAGGUUUGAAAAGACUUCUGGCCGGGCGCGGUGGCUCAAGCCUGUAAUCCCAGCACUCUGGGAGGCCGAGGCAGGUGGAUCACGAGGUCGAGAGAUCGAAACCAUCCUAGUCAACAUGGUGAAACCCCGUCUCUACUAAAAAUACAAAAAAUUAGCUGGGCAUGGUGGCGCGUGCCUGUAAUCCCAGCUACUCGGGAGGCUGAGGCAGGAGAAUUGUCUGAACCCAGAAGGCAGAGGUUGCGGUGAGCCGAGAUUGCGCCAUUGCACUCCAGCCUGGGUAACAAGAGCAAAACUCCGUCUCAAAAAAAAAGAAAAGACUUCAAAAAUUUGAGGAGAAAACAGGCUGUAAAUCCUCUGAAAUGAAAACCGAGGAAGAUUGGAAACUUUCAAAAACUUAAUUUGAACUGAAAAUGCAAAUAAUCUGAUUAAUGAAGGAAGAAAAACAAAACUGUGGCAACCUGUGACUCAUGCCUGGGACAGUUUCUCUCAGUUUUCCUGCCUUACUUCCAACACUCUGCGCGAGCACUUGAAGAGGAAUCCCGGGAAGGAGUUGACAGGUGAGUCUCAUUUUUUUGGGCUGGGGCUUCUCGGGAUUCUCAAACCAGAUCACAAUCAGCCUUUAACAAAGGUUGUCAUCAGCUGAUUUCUUUUUACCCCAUCUACAGUGGUACUUUUUUCCUCCUACUGCUCUGCCAAGGAUGAAAGCAAGCUUGGAUCACUUCUCUCUUCUAAAAAGAGUGCCCCAUUGUCAAUUACAGAAUUCAAAAUGGCAGUAAAAAAAAUGGGAAAAGAGAAAUUUUUCAAAAGUUGCUGUUUGUUUUAAAAUAAGAUGGCAAUUUUUCCUAAGGAGUCUCAUAAUGGGAGCAUUAGAGAAUGUAAUAGAAAAAUAAGGUUGUCCAUAAAAACCGCCUCUCAACAGAAACAAUGAUGAAUUUCUGACUGGGUGCAGUGGCUCACAUCUGAAAUCCCAGCACUUUGGGAGGCUGAGGAUGAGGAAUCACCUGAGGUCAGGAGUGUGAGACCAGUCUGGCCAACAUGGUGAAACCCCGUCUCUACUAAAAACACAAAAACUAGCUGGGUGUGGUGUGGGGGAGGAGGCACCUGUAAUCCCAGCUACUCGUGAGGCUGAGGCAGGAGAAUUACUUGAACCUGGGAGUUAGAGGCUGCAAUUAGCCGAGAUAGUGCCAUUGCACUCCAGCCUGGGCAACAGAGCAACUCUCCAUCUCAAAAAAGUGGGGGAAAAAAGAUAAAUUUCUUAGAACUUUUAUGAGAGUAUCUUUUAAUAGGGUGGAUGACAUCAUACAGAAGUAUAGGUCAGCAAAGAUAAUUUAACACAGGCUUUGUCAGUUAGCUCCACUUGUCCAGACUACUGGGGAAAAC